rnacentral:rRNA from 1 species
GUGUGACUGCGUACCUUUUGUAUAAUGGGUCAGCGACUUAUAUUCUGUAGCAAGGUUAACCGAAUAGGGGAGCCGAAGGGAAACCGAGUCUUAACUGGGCGUUAAGUUGCAGGGUAUAGACCCGAAACCCGGUGAUCUAGCCAUGGGCAGGUUGAAGGUUGGGUAACACUAACUGGAGGACCGAACCGACUAAUGUUGAAAAAUUAGCGGAUGACUUGUGGCUGGGGGUGAAAGGCCAAUCAAACCGGGAGAUAGCUGGUUCUCCCCGAAAGCUAUUUAGGUAGCGCCUCGUGAAUUCAUCUCCGGGGGUAGAGCACUGUUUCGGCAAGGGGGUCAUCCCGACUUACCAACCCGAUGCAAACUGCGAAUACCGGAGAAUGUUAUCACGGGAGACACACGGCGGGUGCUAACGUCCGUCGUGAAGAGGGAAACAACCCAGACCGCCAGCUAAGGUCCCAAAGUCAUGGUUAAGUGGGAAACGAUGUGGGAAGGCCCAGACAGCCAGGAUGUUGGCUUAGAAGCAGCCAUCAUUUAAAGAAAGCGUAAUAGCUCACUGGUCGAGUCGGCCUGCGCGGAAGAUGUAACGGGGCUAAACCAUGCACCGAAGCUGCGGCAGCGACGCU